CCUGAGGGCCCAGCUUGUGGCCUGGGGGAGAAGGCUGGCGUUAGGUAGGUAAAGCCCACCCUUUCAGGCACCAGGAGGACUGGGCUCUGGUCCCAGAGCUGCCGUUGAACUCGCCGUGGGCUCUCAGGUGUGAAAAUUUUCACUAAAAAGCUAAAAAAUAAAACAAAACACAUGAACAACUAGCGUCAAGACCUCUUCCAGAUGCACUAUUUGAUGAAUGGAUGACCAUUUCUAGUCCCUUUCUUGAUGAUGUCUGGCAUUUGCAGAAAGAAUGCUCAAGUCAAUGGCAUCUGGGAAGAGGUUCCAACAGUCUUCCCUUGAUCGUGACCAGCAGCCUUUAGACCUGCCUUUCAAGAAGCUCGCGAGGAUUUCAAGCCUCAGUGUCUACACAUGCCUCCUCCAAGAAGACUCACAGACGCUGCUCACAGCCAUUCUCUGCCCCCCUCUCCAUGGUACCCGUGCCUCUUGCUCUUCCUCCAAAGGAAAUAUUUCCAGACCAAAUGUCCAGCAAAGAUCAGUCAUGAGGCUAAGAAUAGGCAGAGCAGAUAUCUGCCCACAGAAAUGUCAACUCAAGCGAGCAAAGAUAAAGGUGGGAGCUACCAACAACUCUAUUUAUCGCAGUAAAAAAUUGGAAACAAGCCAGAUAUCCAUCAGUAGGGGCUUGGUUAAAUAAACCACAGUCUGAGCUGCCCUGGAAAGGAACUCUGUGGGGCCAUUAACAAGAACAUGCUAGAAGUAUUCCUAGUGUUGUGAAAAGAUAUUCAUGACCGUGGUUAAGUGAAAAAGUAAGUUCUAGAAAAGCAGGUAAGUCAGAGCCCCUUUAAAUUUCUCCUUCCUUCAUUACUUUUCUUUCCAUCCAUCCAUCCAUCCAUCCAUCCAUCCAUCCAACACUUAGACUUCUGUGUGUAAAGUCUGUCUGCCUGUCUUUAAAUGAACAGAAGAAAACCUGGAUAGAAAAGGUUAACUAUGAGGUGGAGAGAUGGGGAAAUGUGAGACCAACGGGGAAUGGACUUUUACCUUUUACUUUAUAUAUCUGUGUAUUGUUUAAAUAUUCCUUUUUUUUUUUUAGUAAGCAUACAUUACUUUUAUAUUUAUUUAUUUGUUAAAGUUUAUUUAUUUACAGGGA